rnacentral:rRNA from 1 species
UACGUAGGGACCGAGCGUUGUCCGGAAUCAUUGGGCGUAAAGCGCGCGCAGGCGGUCCUUUAAGUCUGAUGUGAAAGCCCACGGCUCAACCGUGGAGGGUCAUUGGAAACUGGGGGGACUUGAGUGCAGGAGAGAAGAGUGGAAUUCCACGUGUAGCGGUGAAAUGCGUAGAGAUGUGGAGGAACACCUAUGGCGAAGGCAGCUCUCUGGUACGAGACUGACGCUGAGACGCGAAAGCAUGGGGAGCGAACAGG